rnacentral:misc_RNA from 1 species
GAACUGCGAUAAGUAAUGUGAAUUGCAGAAUUCAGUGAAUCAUCGAGUCUUUGAACGCACAUUGCGCCCCCUGGCAUUCCGGGGGGCAUGCCUGUCCGAGCGUCAUUGCUGCCCUUCAAGCCCGGCUUGUGUGUUGGGUCGUCGUCCCCUCCGGGGGACGGGCCCGAAGGCAGCGGCGGCACCGCGUCCGGUCCUCGAGCGUAUGGGGCUUUGUCACCCGCUCGAUAAGGACCGGCCGGGCGCCAGCCGGCGUCUCCAACCUUUUUUUCUCAGGUUGACCUCGGAUCAGGUAGGGAUACCCGCUGAACUUAAGC